UAAAUAGCCGCAGUAUAUUGACUGUGCAAAGGUAGCAUAAUCAUUUGGUCUUUAAAUGGGAUCUAGUAUGAAAGGGUUAACGGGGCUUUUCUGUCUUAAAAAUAUUUUUUGAAUUUAUAAUUUUUGUAAUAAUACAAGAAUUUAAUUAAGGGACGAUAAGACCCUAUAAAGCUUAAUUUUAAAUAUAAAUUGUUUUUAUUCAAUUUAAUUUAUAGCAUAAAUUUUACUGGGGCGGUACUUUAAUAUUAAAACUAAAGUGGUAUAAAAAUUUGAUCCAAUUUUAUUGAUCAAAAGAUUAAGUUACUUUAGGGAUAACAGCAUAAUUCACUUAGGGAGUUCAAAUCGAAAGGUGAGAUUGUGACCUCGAUGUUGAAUUAAAGUUUCUUUAGGGUGUAGGUGCUCUAAAAGUUAGUCUGUUCGACUAUUAAAUUUUUACAUGAUCUG
rnacentral:rRNA from 1 species